UACGUAGGGGGCAAGCGUUGUCCGGAUUUAUUGGGCGUAAAGAGCGUGUAGGCGGCCACACAGGUCAGCUGUGAAAACUCGAGGCUCAACCUCGAGACGUCGGUUGAAACCGUAUGGCUAGAGUCCGGAAGAGGAGAGUGGAAUUCCCGGUGUAGCGGUGAAAUGCGCAGAUAUCGGGAAGAACACCCGUGGCGAAGGCGGCUCACUGGACCACAACUGACGCUGAGGCGCGAAAGCUAGGGGAGCAAACAGG
rnacentral:rRNA from 1 species